UGUGUGUGUGUCUGUGUCUGUCUUUGUGUCUGUGUCUGUGUGUGUGUGUGUCUGUGUUCAGGACCGGGGUAUCAGCAGUAGUCUUCCUGUCCUGGACCUGAUUGACUCCAUCCAGCCACGCAGUGUGACCUAUGACCUUGUCAAGACUGGAAUGCUCUCCGACGACGACAAACUGGACAAUGCCAAGUACGCUGUAUCCAUGGCGAGGAAGAUCGGAGCUCGAGUCUACGCCCUACCAGAGGAUCUGGUGGAGG